rnacentral:lncRNA from 1 species
AAAUGUCAGUGAAACAAAAAAUAUGUGUUUCAGCAGUCUGAUGAUGAGAAGCUCCCUUCUCCAGUUGAAAUAGAAUGGACUGGAUGACUGAAUUCUCCUAAUUCUGUAAUAUUACAUUGGAAUCUCUUCUCCAUAAUGAAGUGAAGAUAAGGUGGUUUUCCUCAGUGGGCUCAUGGCAUCACCCAAACCCACCAAGCUCAGGUACAGAAUGGGU